rnacentral:rRNA from 1 species
AGACGUCUACAUUAGAUACCCGCGUAGUCCUAGCCGUAAACGAUACUCGCUAGGUGUCGGCCACGGUGCGACCGUUGUCGGUGCCGUAGGGAAACCGUGAAACGUGCCGCCUGGGAAGUACGGUCGCAAGGCUGAAACUUAAAGGAAUUGCGGGGGAGCACCACAACGGGUGGAGCCUGCGGUUUAAUUGGACUCAACGCCGGGAAGCUCACCGGAUAAGACAGCGGAAUGAUUGCCGGGCUGAAGACCCUGCAUGACCAGCUG